rnacentral:rRNA from 1 species
GCUUAGCCCUAAACAUAGAUAAUAUAUACACAAUAUUAUUCGCCAGAGAAUUACAAGCGAAAAGCUUAAAACUCCAAGGACUUGGCGGUACUUCAAAUCAACCUAGAGGAGCCUGUCCUAUAAUCGAUACUCCACGUUUUACCUUACCCCUCCUAGUAAACCAGCCUAUAUACCGCCGUCGAAAGCCUACCUUAUGAAAGAAAUAGAGUAAGCAAAAAAGUUAACAACUAACACGUCAGGUCAAGGUGUAGCACACGGAGGGGUAGAGAUGGGCUACAUUUUUUUAAAGAAAAAAUACGAAUGGAAAACUGAAACACAACCCUGAAGGCGGAUUUAGUAGUAAAAUAAACAAGUAUAAUCAUUUUAAACCUGCUCUGAAGCGCGCACAC